rnacentral:misc_RNA from 1 species
UUUGAGUGUCAUGUAGACUCAACCUCUUGGGUUUCCGAUUGGUUGGACUUGGGUGUUGCCGCUCGGCUCGCCUUAAAUGCGUUAGCGGUCUUAGCAUUGAGCCUGGCGUGAUAAGUUUCGCCGGACGACGUGUGAGGCCCGCUCACAGCCCCAUCUUUGACUCUGACCUCAAAUCAGGUAGGACUACCCGCUGAACUUAA